UACGUGGGUGGCUAGCGUUGUCCGGAUUUACUGGGCGUAAAGAGCGCGCAGGCGGUCGUUCAAGUCGAGUGUGAAAGCCCCCGGCUCAACUGGGGAGGGUCACUCGAUACUGAUCGACUCGAAGGCAGGAGAGGGAAGCGGAAUUCCCGGUGUAGUGGUGAAAUGCGUAGAUAUCGGGAGGAACACCAGUGGCGAAGGCGGCUUUCUGGCCUGCUCUUGACGCUGAGGCGCGAAAGCUAGGGUAGCAAACGGG
rnacentral:rRNA from 1 species